UCUAAGCCUAAUUUCCUCACAUAUUUUCCUAUCUUUUUCUGUCAUUGUCGCUGUCCAAGUUAAUAGCAAUCAUUGCUUUCAUUUAUAUCACCAUUACCUUCCACCUUGGCUGCUAUUUUUCAUAUCAUUGUCGCCCUUGAAGCCUUUCAAUCGCAACUCUUUCCUUCCUUAUCAUUUAUUGGUUUUGCACUUUUUCCAUCACAGAUCUAGAGCAGAUAAAGCUUGACGUGCCACAUUGUUACGUGACAUAUUGCAUUGAAUAGGUUUUGAGAUUUGAUGGGUGACAGAGGAGUUCCUUGGACUAUCGAUGGUAUAUCCACAUUAUGUGCUGACUGUAAAUCUACACCUCCAGAAUUUUGUUGGAGUAUUGGUGACUUAUCGCAACUUACUAGCACCUUUUCUACAAUCCAUUAGCAGUUUAACUGCAUAUUGUUACUGGUGGUUUAUCCACAUCGAUCUUUGGCUCUUACUAUUUUUGCUGUUUGGAUGAUGAUUUUAGGGGAACUGUGGUUUGUAGCGAAUGAAUGGGUAAGGCAUUUACACUAUUUCACAUUCGAACAUGCACAUGUAUAUAUACUUUUUAUUCAACUAACAUGAUUUAUUAUGCACAUUGAUAUU